rnacentral:rRNA from 1 species
UGGGGAAUCUUCCGCAAUGGACGAAAGUCUGACGGAGCAACGCCGCGUGAGUGAUGACGGCCUUCGGGUUGUAAAGCUCUGUUAAUCGGGACGAAUGGUUCUUGUGCGAAUAGUGCGAGGAUUUGACGGUACCGGAAUAGAAAGCCACGGCUAACUACGUGCCAGCAGCCGCGGUAAUACGUAGGUGGCAAGCGUUGUCCGGAAUUAUUGGGCGUAAAGCGCGCGCAGGCGGAUUGGUCAGUCUGUCUUAAAAGUUCGGGGCUUAACCCCGUGAUGGGCUAGAAACUGCCAAUCUAGAGUAUCGGAGAGGAAAGUGGAAUUCCUAGUGUAGCGGUGAAAUGCGUAGAUAUUAGGAAGAACACCAGUGGCGAAGGCGACUUUCUGGACGAAAACUGACGCUGAGGCGCGAAAGCCAGGGGAGCGAACGGG